UUCCUACGGGAGGCAGCAGUGGGGAAUUUUGGACAAUGGGCGCAAGCCUGAUCCAGCUAUUCCGCGUGUGGGAUGAAGGCCCUCGGGUUGUAAACCACUUUUGUAGAGAACGAAAAGACACCUUCGAAUAAAGGGUGUUGCUGACGGUACUCUAAGAAGCUCCGGCUAAAUACGUGCCAGCAGCCGCGGUAAUACGUAUGGAGCAAGCGUUAUCCGGAUUUACUGGGUGUAAAGGGAGCGCAGACGGCAAGGCAAGUCUGAUGUGCAAGUCCGAGGCUCAACCUCGGGACUGCAUUGGAAACUGU
rnacentral:rRNA from 1 species